CCCUUCUAUCCCUCUGUUUUACUGUAGGACUUUAAGACAAAUGUGGUUUUGGCCUCUCAGCAUCUUCUUACGCACUUUCUAAUCCUUCUUCUUGGAUUUUCCUUUUCCAUUUUCCAAGGGCAGAAGUUUCUCAUUGAAGACAGAGCACUGGUGAGAAGUCAAGAACCAAGGACAGGUUUAAAAACAGAGUUUGGUUUGCCUGUAGUCACAGCUGGAGGUGGAGAGAGGACACAACUCUCUGAACUCUAAAGCUUUAGGAAAAGACAAAUUCUAAGCGAAGUUUACCCUUCAUUUUUCUUUCAAUAUCUCUCAUAGAACUCCUCAGCAGGGGAAUAACUGUGAGCAGUUUCUGAUUUGGUUCUUGGUGCAGAGGGGCUGGAAACCAAACAAUUUUUUUCCCCCAAGAUUUAGCAGUAAGUGAAAUGUGAGAAAUCCCUUGACAAAGGCCUCUGCCUAUGAAGUGUGGGACAGCACGUCUGUUGGGGGCUGGUUGGUUGUUCAUUCGUUGUCUUUCCUUUGAAGUAGACUCCAAGGAAAAACACUGGCACUCCAGUUAAAAUGAUAAUGAGUCCAACCCCACAGACGAUGGGCUCGGAGUACAAGCUGAAGACCAGCAGAAAGGCCCAGAACGCCAGAAGGACCAGUCCCAGGGACAUGGAAUGCCAUUGCAGCCUCUUAUGAAAUGAGCAAUGCUACCAGACAGCUCCAAAGUCUCAGCCCUCCAGGGAGAGCAUCAAGGAGUGGAUACUUGCCUGCGGGGAUCAACCAGCUCCUCUGUGACAUAGUUCAAGAAGUUCCAGCCACUGAAUGCAAAGGACCCUUGAAGAAAAGCUAAUGCUAAAUGUCCCACAGAUGGAGUCAUCCAAAAUCUGAAUGCAUUGCUUGGUGUCAACUCUUUGUAGUUUCCUGCAUAGAGAGUGCAAGCCAGAUGUUAGGUCACACCUACCUACCUCACAGGCUUCAAAAUAGGACAGGGUCCUGAUCAGGCAGCUCAGGCUCUCCUGGCACCCUCCACCACAUCUGUGCCACAGCAGCUCAUGAGACCCUUUGGCAACCUGCACUGGCUGAGGGUGGAUCCUUGGCAGUGCAAAUUCCUACCUGCCCUUAAUGCCAAUCUCUUUUACAAGAGUUUGGUGUUGUUUAGUAGAUAUCCUUGAAAAUAAAAUGUCUAUGCGCCUGAAAGAUUUGUCAAGACUGUAGGACUAGCACCACUAGGAAAACAAGUUUUCUGUUCUCUGUAAAUGUCACAUUUCUUCGUCCUUUAUAUAACUCAUCAUAUACAUGAUAAAAAUAUUAUAAGUCUUUUGAACUUUUGGCUUUCCAAUGACUGGUCAAUCAGUGAGACAUUUUUCACC